rnacentral:rRNA from 1 species
AUGAACGCUGGCGGCGUGCCUCAUACAUGCAAGUCGAGCGAACAGACGAGGAGCUUGCUCCUCUGACGUUAGCGGCGGACGGGUGAGUAACACGUGGAUAACCUACCUAUAAGACUGGGAUAACCUCGGGAAACCGGAGCUAAUACCGGAUAAUAUAUUGAACCGCAUGGUUCAAUAGUGAAAGACGGUUUUGCUGUCACUUAUAGAUGGAUCCGCGCCGCAUUAGCUAGUUGGUAAGGUAACGGCUUACCAAGGCAACGAUGCGUAGCCGACCUGAGAGGGUGAUCGGCCACACUGGAACUGAGACACGGUCCAGACUCCUACGGGAGGCAGCAGUAGGGAAUCUUCCGCAAUGGGCGAAAGCCUGACGGAGCAACGCCGCGUGAGUGAUGAAGGUCUUCGGAUCGUAAAACUCUGUUAUUAGGGAAGAACAAAUGUGUAAGUAACUAUGCACGUCUUGACGGUACCUAAUCAGAAAGCCACGGCUAACUACGUG